UCGUGCCACGUAUACGACCGUAUAGAGGAGCAUGCGCUGCAGCGCAUGCAACGGUAUUCCAUGCAACAUGCAAAGCUGAAGGCAUGCUUGCCCCACAUUUUCUCAGCACUACUAGCUUCGUUUGAUGGUCGUUUGAUGCAUUGAUUAUGCUACAAUUUUCUCUUUCAAUGGACUCCCGAUGACACCCACAUCACAUGACCAGCUCCAACCAUGCUCCAAGCAUGCUCCAG